rnacentral:rRNA from 1 species
UGCCAGCCGCCGCGGUAAGACGAACCGUACAAACGUUAUUCGGAAUCACUGGGCUUAAAGGGUGCGUAGGCGGCGUGACAAGUUGGGUGUGAAAUCCCUCGGCUCAACCGAGGAACUGCGCCCAAAACUGUUGUGCUAGAGGGAGACAGGGGUGAGCGGAACUUAGGGUGGAGCGGUGAAAUGCGUUGAUAUCCUAAGGAACACCGGUGGCGAAGGCGGCUCACUGGGUCUCUUCUGACGCUGAGGCACGAAAGCUAGGGGAGCGAACGGGAUUAGAUA